UACGAAGGGGGCUAGCGUUGCUCGGAAUCACUGGGCGUAAAGGGUGCGUAGGCGGGUUUUUAAGUCAGAGGUGAAAUCCUGGAGCUCAACUCCAGAACCUGCCUUUGAUACUGAAAGUCUUGAGUAUGGGAGAGGUGAGUGGAACUGCGAGUGUAGAGGUGAAAUUCGUAGAUAUUCGCAAGAACACCAGUGGCGAAGGCGGCUCACUGGCCCAUAACUGACGCUGAGGCACGAAAGCGUGGGGAGCAAACAGG
rnacentral:rRNA from 1 species